CCGCUCACCGACCGUGGCUUCUCGUCUCCCUCACACCUUCACUCCCUUGCCUCGUUGCCGUCGCCAUCGAGGCUCCUGCACCGGAGAGAUGAGCGACCGUGUCGACGUCCAGGACUCCUUCGCCGUUCGCCGCGCUCUCGUGCAGUGCACGGGUGGCUCGCCAUCCCCCUCUCCUCCAUUGCCUAGUGGCUCGCCAUCGAGGAGCCGUUCCCAGGAGGGGGAUGACACAGACUCCUGCUGCUUGAGCACCCCAUCGGCAUCCGAAUCCGAGGGCGAAAGUGAAAUGUCUGUCCCUGAUGCUAAGUUUGAGACCGAUUGGAGUGAUUUGCAUGUGGUGAGGGUCACAAGGUGUGAGCAUGGUCGUCCUUCUGUGAUGAAAACAGUCAUAGGGGGGAAGAACACCGGUAGGCGGUUCUUGGGGUGCCCUUUGGAGGACAACGAGUGUGCCUUUACAGAAUGGCUGGACGCCCCCUAGCCAAACAGGGCCCAACAAACCCUCAAGAACCUAUGGAAGGAACUGAAGGCCACCAAGCGCAGUGAAGCACGAGCGACUCAAGCACUGCACGAUUCCCUGGAGGCUAGUGAUGUUGCAACCUUGGCAAGGGUCGCUCUGCAAGAGGAAGUGAAAGAGACAAAGCGUGUCGCUCAGCGUGCUUAUACCCACUGCCAGGAGGAGGUCCGCUACGCAACCAUCGACAAGAUCCGGUUGAUGAGCAGGGAGGAUUCCACACCCCUAGCUAGCUGUACCUUGGUUGCUGCAGCCUGCACCAAGCCCCCUUGCUUCUCAGGUGCCAACAUCUACAGCCCAUCGUGAUGGGUUUGCAUCCCACAAUGCCCCCUCUGUCCCUUCCCGCCAUGAACCUCUCGACUACGACCCGCCGGUACUUUGCUCCUGCACCUGAAAUGCCUCAAGCUGAUCUCAUGGACUGAUGGCUACCAAGGCCGGAGGUACUACAGAUGCAGUAAUGUGUGGGUGAGUUUUCUGUAUUUGUUUUUGGGUAUUUGAACUGAUGAAACUGACAUGCCGAUGACAUAUUUGACCUGUUUUUGAACUAAUUUUGUAGACUUGUCAGGAUUGUAACUAUUCUAAAUGGAUCGAUCCUCCGUACAAUAAGUUUCUGAGCACCUUCCUGUUAGAUCUUCACAAUGCAGUUAGGACAUUGAAGAGGGAUAUUGCUGAUGAAAAACAAGAAAGCUACAAAAUGCAAAACAUGUAUGAGGCACAGCUGCGAGUGAAACAGGAGCUGCUACUGGAGAAAGAGAAACAGGUUGAUGCAAAGGAUGCAGCCUUGCAAGUGUUGGCUGCAAGGAAGACUUUUGGAACUCAGAUGGGUAGCAUUGUCUUUGUGUUUGCAGUUGGGGUCUUGUGUGGUGUGUGCUGGAAGACUAUUGACAAUUGAGACUGAUUAGUAGCAUUGUGUAGUAUGUAAAAUGUAGUUCAGACAAUGACAGUUGCAAUGUAAUAUGUAGUAUGUAGUUCUUUUGCCACUAGUUCGGAGACUGAUGUAAUAUGUAGUUCUUUUGCGACUAGUUUGGACAAUGGUAGAGUGUCCUUGAACUAGUUCUUUUGCAGUUCCAAUGACAAUGGCAACGUUCUCUGUUAUGUAAAUUGCACUUCCAGCGCCUAGUUCAGACUAUGGCAAGUAAUGAAAUUGCCUAUUAAGGCCUUGUUUAGUUCCA